UACGUAGGGGGCGAGCGUUGUCCGGAAUCAUUGGGCGUAAAGAGCGUGUAGGCGGCCAUACAGGUCCGUUGUGAAAACUCGAGGCUUAACCUCGAGACGUCGAUGGAAACCGUAUGGCUAGAGUCCGGAAGAGGAGAGUGGAAUUCCUGGUGUAGCGGUGAAAUGCGCAGAUAUCAGGAGGAACACCAAUGGCGAAGGCAGCUCGCUGGGACGUGACUGACGCUGAGACGCGAAAGCGUGGGGAGCAAACAGG
rnacentral:rRNA from 1 species